GACGAACCUGCGAACGUUAUUCGGAAUCACUGGCUUAAAGCGCGUAUAGGCGGGAGGGCACGUCCGUCGCUGAAAUCCCCGGCUCAACCGGGGACGGGCGCGGAUACGACCUUCCUUGAGGGCGUAGGGGGACCUGGAACUUCCGGUGGAGCGGUGAAAUGCGUUGAGAUCGGAAGGAACGCCCGUGGCGAAAGCGAGGUC
rnacentral:rRNA from 1 species